GUUAUACAUUGUAUAGUGUACACCAUAACAAGUAAAAGAUCAAGUAAGAAUUUUAUUGCAAUACAAUAUGAAUUUGUAACAGGUAGGGGGCUAUAUAUUGCCAUGCAAUACCCAAAGAAUGCAUGUUUAUGCAAACAUCAAAUGUGUUAAACAAAAAUUACAACAUCCUUGAAAAUGAGAAGAUUUAAGAUUCAAAAGGGACAUUCAAACUCAUGAGUUCAAAAACUAAAAACGCCAUGGCUUAUAAAAAAAGUUCAAAACAGCCAAAACACAAUAUAGAAUAGAAACUCAACCACAAAAAUCUGGGAAUGAUCUCAGGUACUCCAGAAGGGUAAGCAGAUCCU
rnacentral:lncRNA from 1 species